GCUGGUGUACUAGAGGUGGUUACGUAAACGCUUUAAUCACCGCGGCGCUUGUAACAAUGUAAACAAAUGGACGUGUCCUCGAACUUGGAGCCAAACGGAGGGGCUGAAUCGAUCUUUAAUCGAGCUGUCACAACCGGGAGAAAGGUUUAUCCGAAUCUUGGGAGAUCAGCAGGUAAAAUAAGAAGUCAAAGCUUACAGGGAGCUUUAUUAUGGCUGGAUGGUACAUGUUACAUAAAAAUUCUAUUUUUCCCCAUCUAAUUCAUGAAAUGGCAUCCAUCCUAUUGUCAGUGCUGUCAGGGAAAAAGAUGAACUGGUGUAUUACAACCUAAGACAAAGUGUUGAGAUGUUUGGCAGUCCUAUACAUUCACAGAGAAAAUGUUCUGCUGGAAAUAUGGGGCAACAUUCAGCCUGUACACACAUAGACUAGGGAUUCCACCAAAAACUGAAAGAGAAAAGAAGCUGAUGUACUCAAACAAUCCCUGGCAAGAGAAAUUAAUUUGUGAAAUGAAAGAAUGCACAGACAUAACAUUUUAAUAUUUGUUUGUACAAAAAUUGACAUUGAAAGGAAUUUACUGUAUGUGUACUUAAAAUAGCGAGCUUCAUAUUUUAGUUGUUUUUGAGCAGACGAGGAUGUGCUAAUUCAUAAAUACCACUAAAAAUUCAUUUAUAAAUAGAAUAUACGACACAAAUAUUUGUAGCAUUAAUUCAAGAUUAUGCCAACAACCAUAUCCAUUGAUUGCGCUAAAUUUUGAAAACACCAAGUUAUGUACAUGUACAGUAUUUUUCCAAAGCUUGAACUUUUUUCUGUUAACGAUUUUGCUUAUUUUAUUCAUGGCUGUAAAUAAAUAAA